UACGUAGGGGGCAAGCGUUGUCCGGAUUUAUUGGGCGUAAAGAGCGUGUAGGCGGCUUGGUAGGUCCGCUGUGAAAACUCGAGGCUCAACCUCGAGAUGUCGGCGGAAACCACUUGGCUAGAGUCCGGAAGAAGAGAGUGGAAUUCCCGGUGUAGCGGUGAAAUGCGCAGAUAUCGGGAGGAACACCUGAGGUGAAGACGGGUUGCUGGGCCGACACUGACGCUGAGUGCGCGAAAGCCAGGGGAGCAAACGGG
rnacentral:rRNA from 1 species